CAAAGUGGCUGAUGGCACUGGUUACGGCAUUGGGUCCAGAUCCUGUGAAAGGAACCAGCAGAUGGUUCCUGGAAGAGGCAAGAAUUCUGUCAGGUCUGGUGUUGGUGCCUGCCCAGAUCUUUCUCAGGCUCAGAGCACAGCAGGUGUGCUCAUUGGACAGCAGAGACUGGGAAUUCCAAAGGUAUAUGCACCGGGAAAAGAGACUUUUUUCAUUAAGCUCAACUGUUUUGUUAUGCACUUAAUGACUUGCCCUCCUGUUACUUAAUUAUAAAUUAGGUAGAACCAUGUCUUCUCUGUUUUGUAUUUUUUCAGCCGUAUUGUAUUCCGUGUCAAAUAAAAUCCAGUAGGAUUCUUUAAAAAGGAAAAAAGAAAUUUUUCUCGUGGCCCGGAAAUUUCUAUGAAGAACAGGAUACACCAGCUGGAACCCACUUCCAACCCUGCUUCAUUCCAUUGCUUGGAGAGAAUUAAUUCACUCUCAUGGAC
rnacentral:lncRNA from 1 species